ACCUGAUCCCUCCAGAAUUUAAAAACUCUCAGUGACUAUUUUUAUAUUUCAUGGCAGUAUGUUUAUUUGCAUAAGUUCAAUAAGAACCUGCUUUCCUUAUAAGAGGACCAACUAAAAACACAGGUUAUACCACCAAGGCUUUGACUGGAAUGUCAUACCUGAGAGACACAUGCAUAAAGGUAUGAUCAGCUUUAAGGAACUAAGGUUGACUUUAUAAAGCCAACAAAGCCCCAAUGAAGCCCCUUGGAAGAACUGGCCUGGUACCUUGCUUACGAAGUUCCCAGCAGCCUUACCAGGUGAGUAAGGAAAGUCACUUCCUGGCAGGUGCAGGAAUCUCAGGAUGUCUCAGAGACCUCGAGAAGAGAGGAAUUCAUCCAAAUCUACAGGUACUACAGGCAAAGCCUGAUGGCAAGUCUGGCUUGGCUGUCUGGCCUCAAGAGGCCUUUAAAAGUUCAAUCUGAAAUUCCUUACAGAAAGUUCCAGCAAAGCAUAUUUAAAAGAGCCUGGGUAAUCAAUUGCUCUUCUUGCUGCACUUAUGCAAAUAAUCAAGCCAGCUGUUAAUUAUUUUCUUAACCUGGUUACUUCUAAUAAAAAUGAGAGUGAUUUUAGAGAAAAGUAUUGUUGCAAUAACGCGGCCUUAUCCAUUCAAAAUCCUAAUACUAGUCAUUGAGACAUAAACUAGAUCCAGAAUUCCAGCUUCUUCAAAAUAUCUAGCUAUGAUUUUCCAGAUAUUUUAGUUUUCUCCUAUCAUUGCAAUUAAAGUUUUACUAUUUCUAGUUCUCAUAUUCAACCAUGCAUUCUUAAUCUCAUCAAGUUUGUCCUUCCAGAAUGGAAAAUCCAACUCCAGAUGUUGCUACAUAACCUAAUAACACAAUUUGUUCUAUCUUGCCUAGAAGCCACAAAACUGCAAAUAGUAAUAGAAAUGAAACCCAGAAUAGAAGCGCCAACCUUCUGAGGCCCUCUCAACUGACCAGUGAUGGAGACCUCGCUGCACCCUUUACUGCGCCCCCUUCUCAGCACGAAGCAGCCAGAGCGUUAGCAAGAACACCCACCACCCCUGGACCCUGCCAACUGACCAAAGCCACGACUCAUCACCCUCCAACUACCCCCAGGCCCAGCCAAUCAGCCAGGGCCACGGCCAUCACCCCCUCAAACAGCCCUGGAAACCCAUAAAACCUUUGUUCUGGGGAAAACGCGCUCUCUUUCUCUGGCAUCUUGCCACUGCGUUGGUGUAGAUGAGAGAUUGAGCUCGAGCUAGCUCGAAUAAAGGCUCUUUGCUUUUG